UACGUAGGGUGCAAGCGUUAUCCGGAAUUAUUGGGCGUAAAGAGAUCGUAGGCGGUUUGUCGCGUCUGCUGUGAAAACCGGAGGCUCAACCUCCGGCCUGCAGUGGGUACGGGCAAACUAGAGUACGGUAGGGGAGAUUGGAAUUCCUGGUGUAGCGGUGGAAUGCGCAGAUAUCAGGAGGAACACCGAUGGCGAAGGCUGAUCUCUGGGCCGUAACUGACGCUGAGGAGCGAAAGCGUGGGGAGCGAACAGG
rnacentral:rRNA from 1 species